GGGGAUUUAGCUCAGUGGCACCGCAACUGCCUGGAAAGUACAAGGUCCUGGGUUCGAUCCCUAGUACCCCCC
rnacentral:tRNA from 1 species